rnacentral:rRNA from 1 species
UACAUAGGGGCCAAGCGUUAUCCGGAUUUAUUGGGCGUAAAGCGCGCGUAGGUGGUCGAUCAAGUCGGGUGUUAAAUUUGGAAGCUCAACUUCCAUACGCGCCCGAAACUGUUCGACUUGAGGUCGGUAGAGGGAAGUGGAACUCACAGUGUAGCGGUGAAAUGCGUAGAUAUUGUGAGGAACACCAGUGGCGAAGGCGACUUCCUGGCCCGUACCUGACGCUAAAGUGCGAAAGCAUGGGGAGC